rnacentral:rRNA from 1 species
UGGGGAAUCUUGGACAAUGGGCGCAAGCCUGAUCCAGCCAUGCCGCGUGAGUGAUGAAGGCCUUAGGGUUGUAAAACUCUUUCGCCGAGGACGAUAAUGACGGUACUCGGAGAAGAAGCUCCGGCUAACUUCGUGCCAGCAGCCGCGGUAAUACGAAGGGGGCUAGCGUUGUUCGGAUUUACUGGGCGUAAAGCGCGUGUAGGCGGAUUUGUAAGUUGGGGGUGAAAUCCCGAGGCUCAACCUCGGAACUGCCUCCAAAACUACAAGUCUGGAGCGAGAUAGAGGCAAGUGGAAUUCCGAGUGUAGAGGUGAAAUUCGUAGAUAUUCGGAGGAACACCAGUGGCGAAGGCGACUUGCUGGAUCUCUGCUGACGCUGAGACGCGAAAGCGUGGGGAGCAAACAG